rnacentral:rRNA from 1 species
AUUGAACGCUGGCGGCAUGCCUAACACAUGCAAGUCGAGCGAGCGGCGGACGGGUGAGUAAUGUAUGGGGACUGCCCGAUCGAGGGGGAUAACUAGUGUAACCGGUGGCUAAUACCGCAUACGAUCGGUUGACCCAUAGGGGAUUAGCUAGUAGGUGGGGUAAAGGCUCACCUAGGCGACGAUCUCUAGCUGGUCUGAGAGGAUGAGCAGCCACACGGGGACUGAGACACGGCCCAGACUCCUACGGAGGCAGCAGUGGGGAAUAUUGCACAAUGGGCGCAAGUCUGAUGCAGCCAUGCCGCGUGGAUGAAGAAGGUCUUAGGGUUGUAAAGUACUUUCAGUGGGGAGGCGUUACCCACAGAAGAAGCACCGGCUAACUCCGUGCCAGCAGCCGCGGUAAUUC